UGGGGAAUAUUGCACAAUGGGCGCAAGCCUGAUGCAGCCAUGCCGCGUGUAUGAAGAAGGCCUUCGGGUUGUAAAGUACUUUCAGUCGGGAGGAAGGUGGUAAGGUUAAUAACCUUAUCAAUUGACGUUACCGACAGAAGAAGCACCGGCUAACUCCGUGCCAGCAGCCGCGGUAAUACGGAGGGUGCAAGCGUUAAUCGGAAUUACUGGGCGUAAAGCGCACGCAGGCGGGUGAUUGAGUCAGAUGUGAAAUCCCCGGGCUUAACCCGGGAAUUGCAUCUGAUACUGGUCAGCUAGAGUCUUGUAGAGGGGGGUAGAAUUCCAUGUGGAGCGGUGAAAUGCGUAGAGAUGUGGAGGAAUACCGGUGGCGAAGGCGGCCCCCUGGACAAAGACUGACGCUCAGGUGCGAAAGCGUGGGGAGCAAACAGG
rnacentral:rRNA from 1 species